CUAAGGCUUACUGCUGAGAAGUCUUGUCUGUGGAACUCUCUCGGAGCUGUAAAGAGCAGGAACAGUCCCCAAGACCAGACAAGGAGGGUCUGAUGAGUCUUUGAAUAAAGAUGGCAAGACUGUUCUCCCAGACAGCGCAUCUGAAGAGGAGGCUAGGCCCUAUUAGUAAUGCUGAGCGAAGGGACAAAUAAGCCAAUGCGGAUACUGCUUACUGGUGGCACUGACUGAUCCUGGGAUCCAAUCCAAGAUGUUGCCUUUGAUUAAUCAGUCAUCUGAGGAGGAGAGAAACAUCUUCCAUCUUGUGCAGAAAUGCAGAUCCAUUCAGCUGACUGUGCACCUGGCCAACUGAUCCUGAAGAAGGCUGACCCAGCAUGCAAGGUUAGGAAAGAGGGGACCCCCAAACACUACAGUCAAGAGGUUGGAGCUUCUCAACAAACAGUGGACUUGUACUAAUGAUUUUUCCUCCUCCCACAGCCCUAUUUGUAUUCCCAACACUGUCCUUCACCUAGGUCUGCAGUAACACUCCAGCAGCUCCAGGGGCAAGGAGGUGAGAUAGAAUAA